UUUUUUAAGGAAGAUCUGGCCUUCCCACAAGGGAAGGCCAAAGAAUUUCCUU
rfam:Human immunodeficiency virus type 1 proviral gag pseudogene for gag polyprotein, clone:IMS10-19.